CGAUGUGAAGCGGUAAAAGCUCAAAUUCGAAAUCUGGUUACUUUCAGUGCCCGAGUUGUAAUUGUAAGACUUUUUCGAAGAGUCGAGUUGUUUGGGAAUGCAGCUCAAAGUGGGUGGUAAAUUCCAUCUAAAGCUAAAUAUUGGCGAGAGACCGAUAGCGAACAAGUACAGUGAUGGAAAGAUGAAAAGAACUUUGAAAAGAGAGUGAAAAAGUACGUGAAAUUGUUGAAAGGGAAGGGCAUUUGAUCAGACAUGGUGUU
rnacentral:rRNA from 1 species